rnacentral:pre_miRNA from 1 species
GUGAGGACUCGGGAGGUGGAGGGUGGCGCCGCCCGGCGGGGCUGUCUCAGCAUGCUUCUCCCCCCACCUCCUCUCUCCUCAG